rnacentral:rRNA from 1 species
GAUGAACGCUGGCGGCGUGCCUAAUACAUGCAAGUCGAGCGAACAGACGAGGAGCUUGCUCCUCUGACGUUAGCGGCGGACGGGUGAGUAACACGUGGAUAACCUACCUAUAAGACUGGGAUAACUUCGGGAAACCGGAGCUAAUACCGGAUAAUAUAUUGAACCGCAUGGUUCAAUAGUGAAAGACGGUUUUGCUGUCACUUAUAGAUGGAUCCGCGCCGCAUUAGCUAGUUGGUAAGGUAACGGCUUACCAAGGCAACGAUGCGUAGCCGACCUGAGAGGGUGAUCGGCCACACUGGAACUGAGACACGGUCCAGACUCCUACGGGAGGCAGCAGUAGGGAAUCUGCCGCAAUGGGCGAAAGCCUGACGGAGCAACGCCGCGUGAGUGAUGAAGGUCUGCGGAUCGUAAAACUCUGUUAUUAGGGAAGAACAAAUGUGUAAGUACUAUGCACGUCUUGACGGUACCUAAUCAGAAAGCCACGGCUAACUACGUG